rnacentral:rRNA from 1 species
GACGAACGCUGGCGGCGUGCUUAACACAUGCAAGUCGAACGAAGUGGCGAACGGGUGAGUAACGCGUAAUCAACCUGCCCUUCAGUGGGGGACAACAGUUGGAAACGACUGCUAAUACCGCAUACUGACGGUGGGGAUUGCGUCUGAUUAGCUAGGUGGGGGGGGAACGGCCCACCAAGGCGAAGACCAGUAGGCGGUCUGAGGGGAUGAACGGCCACAUUGGGACUGAGACACGGCCCAGACUCCUAAGGGAGGCAGCAGGGGGGAAUCUUCCGGAAUGGGCGAAAGUCUGACGGGGCAACGCCGCGGGAGUGAUGACGGCCUUCGGGUUGUAAAGCUCUGUUAAUCGGGGCGCGGUACCGGAAUAGAAAGCCACGGCUAACUACGUGCCAGCAGCCGCGGUAAUAC